UCCACGCCCUAAACGAUGAUCUCUCGCUAUUCGGAGUAUCGACCCUCUGAGUGGCUUAGCUAACGCGUUAAGAGAUCCGCCUGGGAAGUACGGCCGCAAGGCUAAAACUCAAAGGAAUAGACGGGGACUUGCACAAGCAGUGGAUUAUGUGGUUUAAUUCGAUGGUAAACGAAGAACCUUACCAAGGUUAGAAAUCCUAAUGAAAUCCUUUAGAAACAUUGGACCUCGCAAGACAUUAGGACAGGUGAUGCAUGGCCGUCGUCAGUUCGUGGUUUGAAUUGUUCCCUUAAGUGGGGUAACGAACGCAACCCUCGUUGUGUGUUACAAGUGUCACACGAUACUGCCCCCGCCAAAGAACAUAAUUAUCAAUUAUCAAUUACGAAUUACGAAUGAAAAUACAAAUAAAAAAAUGUGUUUAAAUUCGUAAUUCGUAAUUCGUAAUUUUUAAUUGUUUUUUUCGGCGGGGGAGGAAGGAGAGGAUGACGCCAGGUCAGCAUGUCCCUUGAUACCUUGGGCUACACACAUAAUACAAUGGCCGUUACAACGCGCAGCGACGAGGCGACUCUGAGCUAAUCGUCCAAAAGCGGCCCCAGUUCGGAUUGGAGUCUGCAACUCGACUCCAUGAAGUUGGAAUUGCUAGUAAUCACAGGUCAGCUAAACUGUGGUGAAUACGUUCUCAAGUCUUGUACUCACCGCCCGUCAAGUCAAGGGAGCCGGGAGUACCCGAAGUCUCUACAUAAGUAGGGCCUAAGGUAAGCUCGGUGACAGGGACUAAGUCGUAACAAGGCACGGCUAGCGGAAGCUGGUCGUGGAAUAAUUCAAUU
rfam:Candidatus Nomurabacteria bacterium CG1_02_31_12 cg1_0.2_scaffold_10196_c, whole genome shotgun sequence.